ACUUUAGCUCAGACCUUUCUUUUAAGCUUGCCUAUCAUGUUUCGAGUCAGAAUUUAAAUACUGUGCAGUUUAAGCUACAAUACGCUUGGCCUAUAACUUGGUUCCAGGCAUUUAUGUUUAUGUGACUUUUGUCUGCUUACUAUACUAACAAGGUGGAAAAAGCAAUCCCAGUCUCUCCAAAAGACAAGAUGUGAAAUGGAGAAGUAUCUGACACCUCAGCUUCCUCCAGUUCCUAUAAUUCCAGAGCAUAAAAAGUAUAGACGAGACAGUGCCUCAGUCGUAGACCAGUUCUUCACUGACACUGAAGGGUUACCUUACAGUAUCAACAUGAACGUCUUCCUCCCUGACAUCACUCACCUGAGAACUGGCCUCUACAAAUCCCAGAGACCGUGCGUAACACACAUCAAGACAGAACCUGUUGCCAUUUUCAGCCACCAGAGUGAAACGACUGCCCCUCCUCCGGCCCCGACCCAGGCCCUCCCUGAGUUCACCAGUAUAUUCAGCUCACACCAGACCGCAGCUCCAGAGGUGAACAAUAUUUUCAUCAAACAAGAACUUCCUACACCAGAUCUUCAUCUUUCUGUCCCUCCCCAGCAGGGCCACCUGUACCAGCUACUGAAUACACCGGAUCUAGAUAUGCCCAGUUCUACAAAUCAGACAGCAGCAAUGGACACUCUUAAUGUUUCUAUGUCAGCUGCCAUGGCAGGCCUUAACACACACACCUCUGCUGUUCCGCAGACUGCAGUGAAACAAUUCCAGGGCAUGCCCCCUUGCACAUACACAAUGCCAAGUCAGUUUCUUCCACAACAGGCCACUUACUUUCCCCCGUCACCACCAAGCUCAGAGCCUGGAAGUCCAGAUAGACAAGCAGAGAUGCUCCAGAAUUUAACCCCACCUCCAUCCUAUGCUGCUACAAUUGCUUCUAAACUGGCAAUUCACAAUCCAAAUUUACCCACCACCCUGCCAGUUAACUCACAAAACAUC
rnacentral:sRNA from 1 species